rnacentral:lncRNA from 1 species
AUUCCAGGUGGAUUUUAGAGCAGGAUGUUCCCAGCUCCAAAUUCCAGGUGGAUGUUGGAGCAGGAUGGUCCCAGCUCCACAAUCAGGUGGAUUUUAGAGCAGGAUGUUCCCAGCUCCAAAUUCCAGGUGGAUGUUGGACAGGAUUCCA